AUGGUCUCAGAAAUUUUAAGUAAUUUGUUUAUUAGCAAGAGAAAAGGGAGGGAGAAAAUUAUCAUAUUGGGAGUGGUAAAAUAGUGGGUGAGAGAUUAAUGGUAAAACAGUGGAUGUAAGCACCAAACAACUCAUCAAAAAACAAAGUGUAUUGUCCAAAUACCACCAUUCAAAAUCAUAUCUCACAUCUCCAAAUACCACCAUUCAAAAGCAUUGGAGGAAAUCACCACCGACACCACAACACCACCAUUGAACCACCACCACAGCACAACCACCGAACCUGCACAGCCACCACGGUUCCAUCAUUUGCUCCAAAUGAAACGUUUCCUUUUCGUAGGAAUGCUACAUCUGUGAUCUGCCUGAACCGCAAAUGGAUUUACUUACAUGAUAAUUGACGAUGAAGUUUUGUUGGGAGAUUAUGCAAUUAAUAAAACCAUCAUCGGCCAUCUCUUCUUGUUGAACCGGUGACGGUGGAGUAAAUUGAAAAUCUGUGCGGAAUCCGGCCGGUGCCGACUACGUUGGGGUUUUGUGGCAGAUUACUUUGUGGCGGAAUAGUAUUAUUAAUUGGAAAUUGAGUGACUGGAUUUAUGAAUGCAACUACCCUCACACCAUGAGUCUGCCAAGGUUUCAGAUGGGUGAUACAUGACCGGCGGUUAUUCUGGUUGUGUGAGGGUUAUAUAGGAGUAGAUACGGUUCUGACGGCGGUGAAACGAUGGUGGGGGGAGACACGUCGGUGGAUGAAUGUUUGUGUCGGUUCCAUAACGGUGUGUCUACCACCGGUGGAGUAUAAAAAAUAAUAACUUUCAAAUAUACUUGGACUUAGGGGAAAGAUGAUAUCAUUUAAUGAAUUGGUGGGAUAAGUCCAAGCAUUUGGAACGGUGGCGUUGGAUGGUUAUGUGACGGUUUAUUUAUGUUGGCGCAACGGUGGGAUUAAUGCAAGUUUUGAAACUGGGGUUGCAUUUGAAACAAACAGUGGGGUUGCAUUUGAAAUGGUAAAUGUAUAAGAGUAUAAUUUGUUUAUACUUUAUAGUCAAGAAGCCACCAAGUCAAUGAAGGCCAACGAAUUGUUGGGAGGAAAUCGUUAAAAGAAGUAAAAAUGUGUUGAAUACUUAAAUAGAAAGAAUGCCUUCAUAUUAGUUGUUGAAAAGAAGUAAAAUGUGUUAAAUACUUGAAUAGAAAGAAUGAAUUC
rnacentral:lncRNA from 1 species